UUCCGUUCUGCAGUCUGCAGCUUCCCACGCACACAAGAGGGAGAGAAAAAAACAGGACCGCGUCCGCAGACACCUUUGCGGCUGCGCAAGCGGCAGCCAGCGGGGGGCUGGGGAGCCGGGCGCCAAGGCAGGGCAGGACCUGAGCCCGCGGGAGUCUCCGGCCGGCCGACCGGACCGCGACCUGGGCAUCUGGGUGCAUGCAUCGCCACAUCGGCCGCUGGACUGGAGGGCCAAGCCGCCAGAGUCAACAUUCCUUACAGUGCUCAAACGAUGAGCAACGACGAGUGUGGUUCUUUCUACCAUUAUCCUAUUGAGUGCCUCCUGGACUAUCCUCUCAGAUUCCACAUCCAAUGCACUUGUUGCUUCAUCUAGCAAAAGGAUUUUUGGAUCUUUAAGGAUGGCUCUCGCAAUUGCAAUUCUUUGUUUUUGUCCUCCGGAAAGCAGAGUGCCACGUUGGCCAACCAACGUAUCGUAGCCCUGGUACAAAGAACGGAUGCGGGCUGACUGCCUUUCUCCUGCCAUUGUCCAGCAUGCCACCUCUGGAAGAAAUGAGGGGAAACAUGCAUUCCAAGAAUUCGAAUGGAAAUUCCACUUACGAAGAAAGGAAGCAACUGCUGUCCCAAUGCCCAGAUAUAUGAAGUUGAGAACAACCUGGAGAUCAAAAGAAUAUUCUCUGUUAACUCGUCUAGCCAAGCCACCCUUCAAGUUAAGUGAUCACCAUAAGCCGUUGUGGCACACCUUGGUGACAGCACGGAGGACAGUGCUGGUCGUGCUCUCGCCGAAGGAGUUGAUGACGUCUCCAAAGAGGACCGAGAUGAGGGGCUCGGACACGCCGUUGCCCACCGCCCCGAGCGAGCCGACCACCAUGAGCAGCAUGUCGAGGCGGUCGGCGUACCUGAACAUGCCGAGCAAUGGAACCUUCUUCUCCGGCCGGUCAUCUUUUCCGCCGUGGGCGUGGCGUGCUCCUUCUCCACUGCUAGCUUCCGCUGUCGCGUCCAUUUCCUGGCGGCUACUUGCUUUGUGCUGAUGUGCUCGACGAGCCUGGCCGCACUGCGCCGUGUGUGGUUCCUGUCCCCGGGGGUGGUGGAGGCACUAUAUAUACGCAUCUUGCGGGCCGCCCAGAGUGCCUUUGACUGUUGGGCUGAUUGGGUGCUCCGGGGCUGGAAGCGACCGGGAAAGUAUGCCAUGGAAAAUUACACGGACUAUGUUAUGGCAUGUGAUUAAUUAUGGGAAAAUUCACAACUCUUGCUGGUGCUGUGGUGCAGGUGCGACAAUUCAAGAUCCAUAGCGUACUUUUGUGCUUUGUCAGCGUAGUCAGUUGGAUGGAUUGCGUUAAUCUUGUGACCUGAGGUGCGCUAAGCUAGUUGGGCUCUUUGGUGUUCACAGAUAAUUGCUCUUGGAAAAAAGAAAGGUGACGCUACGUUUUACUUUUUGACAGUAUAGUAUGUUGAUAUGACUACGAAAACUUCAAAGGACAAAUAUGGAUGUAUUCGUGAGUA